rnacentral:lncRNA from 1 species
AACUUUGUAGCCAUAAAACCUCUCACUACAAUCAUAGUCUCUCAUAUUGUAGUCACAACAAUCCCCGGCUAUCGAAGACAUGUUCCCCUUAUAUCACAUUUGUACCUAAAAAUAAACAAACAAGAUUAGAAGUAAAUCUUCCUUACCACAACAAUCCCCGGCUAUCGAAGACAUGUUCCCCUUAUAUCACAUUUGUACCUAAAAAUAAACAAACAAGAUUAGAAGUAAAUCUUCCUUACCAACACUCGCAUACACUCACUUUUGUGAUCCUCACAAUUGAAGCGGCGAAGAUUGAAAGUUGCUUAUACUCUGGUAGUCAAUAGGAUGUCAAUUUUACUUGGCGGGUGGAAUGGAUUCUUGUUUGAUCGACUCAAGACAUAAAAAAAGAACAAAAUGUACUUACAAACUUGAAACAAAGAAGUUUCUAUGAUUUAAAAAUGAGAAAAGUGCACAAAUAAUGAAGACAAGAAAGAAACGAAUUCAACAAUUAAUCUACAACUAAGUAGGUGAUUACUAGUUGUUAAUUAAUUCUAGAAUCAAGACAUGAAACUAAUGAAAAAAUUAAAUGAAACUAAGAAUCUAAAAUUUGUGCUUCAAAGUAUUUUGGGAUGUUGAUGAUAUUGCACUUUGAUGAUGUGGCAGUUUGGUGAUGUGACGGUUUAGGUGACAUGGCAGAUUUUUUUCCUUGUUGGCAAUUUGAAUUGGUCAAAUUUCAUUUGGAAGAUGUGGAAAUUCAGUUUUGGUAGGGUCAAACAAGACUUUGGAGCCUUUUUUUAAAAUUCAAAAAGGAGUUUGACUUCUUUGCAUGUUUUUGGCAAAACACCUUUUUGAAGACAUUUUGGCUCUUUCCUCUUUUGUAAGUCUUGGAAAGUGCUCUUUCUCUCUUUUGGUAAACAAGACUUUUGAAAGACCCUUUGUUCCCUUUUCAUUUUGGAUGUCUUAGAGUUGUGUUUUUCAAGACACUCUCUUUCUUCAAUUUCUAAGAUCAAACAACUAUUUUUUCUUUAACAAAACAUGAAGAUGGUGAAGAACACCAAGAAUACAACUUUUUCAACUUUGGAGUUCUAUGGUUCAAGUUAGAUCCCACACAUCAAUAAAAUAUUUUUCAAGCUCUAACCUUCAACAACAACAUCAACAAGACGUUUUUAAGCCACAAUCUUAACAACUCUCUUUCAAGCCACCAAUCCUCAAAAAACAGUAACCUUCAAAGUUCAAAAACAACUAAAAAAUCGCUUAAAAAUUUAGAUCUAGACUCUGUAAGUGUUAGUGAAAAAGAGACUAACACUAGAAAUAACAAAAUACACAAAAAACACAAGAAAACUAGUCUUCAAAUUUUGGCCUAAACACAAAAACGUAGACAGAUUACUAUUUUUGAGUUUUUCAGUUAUUCAAUACGUCUUUUUUUUUAUUUUUGAGUGAACAAGCCCAAGAUUAAUCUCGUGGGAACGAAAUCAAUGAUGGAUCUAAUACCAAAUGAUAUGAGAUAAUAAUGGAAGUCACUAAACACACUCCAAAAUAGUCCACAAAUCAAAGGAUCCUGGGACCUAUUGGAGGCCAACUCUCGGAUUCACAAUACAACACAAGGAUGAAAAGAUAACAAGGUGUUUUGACCCCUAUUUCAGCCAACCAAACUACAUUAACAACACAUAAAAAUGAACAACAAGAAGACAACAAUUUCGACUAUAAGAACACCACAAAGCCGAGAGUAGGCAACAAGAACAAACACAAUAAUAUUACAAGAAAGAAAAGGAUAGUUAGUAAGACAAAUAUUAUUGCAAGAUUAAGAACCAAGUAUAUAUCAAAACUAACCCCUAAUGGAUAUAAUAAUCGACACCACACUCUUACGGUGACCGCCAAGGCAAUCAACUUACCUCAAGAUCCACCGUUUUCAAGCAAAGGUCAAUAUUAGGUUUUUCAAGCCCUAAACUACAAUGGUUAUUCCAAGCUCUAACUAAGACUACACUAAGGUGUUCUACUCUCAAGAGAGUGGAAUUACAAUAUGUCAAAUGUUCAUCAUUCAUAAACUAAUGAGUAAAGACUUAAAAGAGACUAUAUAUAGUAUAUUACAAAAAAAAAAAAAAAAUGACUCCAAUGCCCUUAAUUAGGUAGAGCGGCCAUAGAGUGUCAUUUAGACAAGUAUAAAUGACCAAAAUACCUUCAAGGAUAAGUGACCAAAAUGUCCUUAAUAAAGGGAACGAAAAUCAUGAACCACCAAGUGUGGCCCAAACCCAAGAGUCCUCAAGUCUUCAAGGCUCUAAGCAAUCUUCUACACUCGGGUUUGUUUAAUGGCAUACUCAAGAUGACCCUUCCAAGUAUGAUCCCGUGCCCUCCAUGCGACCAAAGCUUGAUUCUUCACGUAGUGAUUUUGAAUGAUGUCAUCGAAAGCUAAGGCUUCAUUUGACUUGUAUCAUGAACGCGUCAAACAUAUUGAGGUAGAUUGGCAUUUUACUCAGAAUGUUGUAGCUACUGGUCUAAUUUCUCUUCAUCCUAUCUCCACUUCUGUUCAGCUGGCUAACAUAUUCACUAAGACUUUAUUGGGUGUUCAGCAGCAGGGUUUCCUUCCCAAGCUUGGCAUGGCUAGCCUUUCCAGCUUGCGGGGGGUGAUGGCGUUGAUAAUGAUAUAUGACACAUUUGUAUAUCACUUUAUUACUUGUAUAUAAUGGGAUCGUUAAUUGGGUUUGUCUUUUGCCAAUUUGGUUGGGCCACUUGUAUAUUUGGGCCUCUGAUUCAUUUAUUUAAUCUGACUUAACCCGGCCCACUUGUCAUUUGUACAUACAUAUAUACUCAUAUUGUACAGUAGAGACACAGAUGAAUAACAAAAUAUCUUUCCCAAUUUUCUCUCUUUGGAAGCUUUCUCGAAUUUGAGUUGAGGUCGAUUUAAUUUUCUCAAUAAACCGUGAAGGAAUAUAGUAACCCCAAAAAUAAGGGCAUCUCUCUCAUAUAUUUGCUUUAUCAAACCCUCACCACCAAUCUAGCCACCAAAAGUGAGUAAAAGCACAUUAAAUCGAAAAGGAGUACUACUAUCUGUGAUAAUUCUUACCUUUAAAGAUGCACUCUAGAAUUCAGUUCAGUUAUAAUAAUGAAACUAUGUUAAGGUAUGUAGCAUGUGAUCAAUGAAGAAAGCCUACAAUUAAAGUUGGUGAUAAUUAAUUAUCAUAAGUUUUAUAUAUAUAGGGUCAUGUAAGUUAGUGGCCAUUGUGAACUGUAGAUUACCCUCCUAUACCCAUUGAAAAGGUGGACAUGCUAUAGUCAGUCGGCUAAAGUAAUUCACUUUUUUAGCUAUUUGGCUCAAUUGGACACAUGCAGUCUCUAUACUCAAUUAAUACACUUUUAUACCACAUUGAUACACUUUUGAAAAAAGAGAAAGGAAAUUCUAUGCAAGCACAUCCAGUCCCUAUACUCAGUUGGUACUCUUUUUUACCAUAUUAAUACAUUUUUAUACUACAUUGAUACACUUGCAAUAUCCAUAUACUCAAUUGAUACUCUCUUAUACUAGAUUGAUACAUUUUUAGAAUGCAUGUAAAAACUAUAUAGAGUCGUAUAAAAUAUAUAUCUAAAUAAUAAUUGUCUUUAAAAAUUGUAUAGAAUGUGUAUAAAAAUGCUAUAAUUAUUAUAUAGAAUAUGUAUAUAUAUAGAAACUGUAUCAUUAUUAUAUAUAAAUAUAUAUAUCUUUAACAAUUGUAUUAUAUUAAAAGUAUAUGAUAUUGUAUUUUAUUGUAUAAAUAACGAAAAUUAAAUAAAACAAACAGUAUGUUAUUUUAAUAAUGUUAUAUCACUUAAAAUAGAUUGUCAUGUAAAUGGUUUAGAAUAAAACUUAUAAAUUUACCUAAAAAUUCAGUUGAAUUGUCCAGCAUCUACUUUGACUUUUAAAAGUGAAAUAGAUUAAACUUUGCAUUAUUAAAAAAGAAAAGGAGCCAAAAAAUAUAUAGACCCAUUAAAGAUGAAAAGUCGGCCCAGUACACAAGAUGGAAAUGGCCUAAUUGUGAUGCUUAAUGGCUAUUUACUGGAUUUUUAAAUUGGAUAAAUUACACAAAUCCCAUACUUAAGAGACUAUAUUACCUAAUAUCCCUUGUUUUUUAAAAAUUUACAUAAAAUCCCAUUUUUCAACUUUACUAUUGAUACAUAUCAAGAAAACCCCAUAUCCUAUUUUUACUCCACCUUUAAAUCAUUCAAGCUUUCAUUCCCUAAAAUAUCUCCCUAAUUAUCAACAAUUAAAUCAUCUUUCUUUCUAAUUUUUUCUCUUCCAUUAAUGCUUAAAUCAUCUUCUUUCCUGAUUUUUUCUCCUCCAUUACGGCAUGCAACUUUUUUUUCUCUCCUAAAAUCUCUCCCAUUUUUUUAGAAAAAUCUAUUGGUACAUGUAUAAAUUUAUUUAGUUAUUCAUAUAUAUUUAUUUUUUUAAUGAUGAUUCAUAUGAAUGAUAAAUAUGAUAUCAUUAUAUGGGCAUUAUGGUGAUUCAUACGAUAGAUACAUUUUGUAUGAUUUUAACGGGUGAUAUAUAUGAUAUUAACGAGUCAUACAUAUUGUAUUAUGGUGAUUCAUAUGGUAGAUAAAAUUAUUGGGUGAUUCAAGAGAUGGGAGAUAUAUAUGGUAUUAUGGUUAUUUAUAUGCUAGAUACAAUUAUUUAUUUCAAUUAUUGGAUGAUUCAUAUCUAUGGUAUUAUGGUGAUUCAUAUGGUAGAUACAAUUAUUUAUUUCAAUUAAUGGGUGAUAUAUAUGGUAUUAUGGUGAUUCAUAUGAUAGAUACAAUUAUAUAUUUCAAUUGAUGGGUCAUUAAUUUGUUAUUAAUGAAAGGUAAUGGUGUAGUCAGUGUAGGAAACAAAAGUAAUAAUAUUUUUUAAAAAAAGACUAAAAGUAGAAUUGAAACAUAAUUAAAAUUAAAUCUAAAAAAAGCAGACUAAAAUUAAAGAUGAAAAAAAAAUAACAAAAAAAUAUCUUUCAUAAUUAAAGAAGAAAAAAAUAGAAAAACAUAAUUAAAACACCUAAAUUAAAUCUAAAAAAAAAAAAAGAGAAAAAUUAGAUAUCUUUCCUUAAAUAAAAGAAUACAAUGAAUAAAAGAGAAUCUAUUAUUUCCUUAAAUAAAUAUCUUGUUAGUUUCAAAUGUAUCUCUUUUUUAUAUGUAUUACCACAUAACAUAUGUAUCACCAUUUCAAAAAUUCAGGAUAAAAUAUAAUUAAUAGUCGAAAUUUUAUGUAAUAACACUUAAAGAUUCAGGGAUUUAUGUAAGUUACCCUUUUAAAUUUAGUGCUAGUUUUGUGGAAUUAUUUUAGUUUUAAGUAUUAUUUUUAUGUUUCCCCUAAAUAAAUUUGUACAUUGUAUACUUUGGAUAUAUAAUUUUUACAUAAUUGUGUACGUAAGCAGUAAAAUUAGUUGAAUCACAUUUUAUUAAGAUAUAUGUUAUACAAUAUGUUAAUUGUAUACAAUAAAGGUAUAUAAUACACAUACCUACUCGAUAUUUCAUAUGUAUAUACAAUAUAUAAAUAUAAUCCGAAGGUAUACAUUUUUUCCCCUCCACGUCCUAUACAAUACACAUGCCUUACGUUUUUUUUUGUUCAUCAUCCUUCUUAAGUUCAAAUAUAAAAAUUGUUGGCAUAAAAGGAUUCAGUGGACGAUUUUGUCAAGAGUCGAGACGGUUUCAAAAUUUAAAUUUUAUGAGUUCGUGUUCAAAAUUAUUCGAUGCUUUAUUUGAUUUAUUUUAUUUGGAAUUAAUUAUUUGUAUUUAUUUAUCAAAUCAAUUUUUAGAGACAACAUAUCAAUUAUUUUAAAUUGAAGGGAGUAUUAAAAAAAAUCCUUUAGUGACAUUUUUGAUAAUAAAAGUCAUAUGAAGGAAAGCCUAGGCCUAACUGGUAAAGUUACUGUUAGUAGCGAAUCUAGGUUCAAAUUGAUGGUUUUUCGGCACGCGUUAAACUCGAUGCAAAAUAUGUAUAAUUAUAUAAAAAUUGUAUAAGAAUUGGUAUAAAAUGAAAAAAAGCACCUUCGAAACCAAAAUGAUAGAUGGGGUGCUUUGGUUUCCAUGCGAAAUCUUAAAGCUUUAAGUAUCAAUACAUGUGUUCCAACCUUCCGAGCACCCACGAUGCCAUGGAUCCGUCACUAGUUAUUGCCAUGUGAUCAGAAGAUUAUCAAACAAAUUCUAGUUGUGUUGACAUAACUGAUAAAGUUGUCAUGUGACCAAGAGAAUAUGGGCUUGAGUUUCCUUGCAUACCCAGUAACAUUUUAUUGUUAUGUAACCAGGAGAUUAUGAGUUCGAGUUGUGUAUUAUAAAAAAAAUGUAGGAUUAUCAAGAAGGAAAUUCUGGUAUCUGCUUUUUGGUUGCUCGAGGAUUUCUUGAGCGUGAGAAAAGUGGAGAUUGCUUACAAUUUUCUUUUCCUUUUCUACCAAUAUUAACAUGAAAUUCUCGUAUUUAAUAUUUUCUGGGAAAAUAAAUGUUAAAAUAGUAAUGUUGUCAGCAUGAUAUUGGGAAUGAGAAAUGUUAUGUUGUAUGAUACCGAUAGUCACAAAUUAAGUAGCUAAAUACUAAAAUUUGUUGUUAGUUAUUUAUUUAACAAUGAAUUGGUAUUAAAUUGCUUAGAUUAUAUGAUGUCACAAAUUAAAUAGGGAGACAAUAUAAUUUGUAGCUAAUUUUAUUUAAUGAUGAAUUAGUAUUAAAUUGCAAAAGAUUAUGCUAGCAAUGGACAAUUUAGCAAUAAAUUAGUGAUAAAUUCAUAACUUAUCUUAAUUUAUUUAUUUUUUAAUGAUACAAGUUUAUUCCUUGCAUUUUCUACUAAGAACAGGAAAGAAAGGGGUGGAAUUCGGGAUAGUAGGGUCAAGGGUUCGAUCCUGAGUAUGGAGAAAACUUUGUUGGAAGUACUCCCAUCUUAAUGGGCCCGCAACGCGCGAUUCAGAUUAGUCGGGAUCCAAUGCGGAUAUCGAAUACUGGAUGGAAAACCAAAAAGAAAAAAAAAAAAAACAAUAUGCCUACAAAUGUAUCAUUCUUUUGGUUGUUGUAUCAAAAGAAAAAAUAAAGACUGUAGUGUAUACUAGUAAUGUAGUGGUUCACUUCUCUGUCACCAUCUGACCAUCACUUUUUUUGGUAUAAAACAUCGUUAUAAUGGAGUGCUGUCGAAAUGCAGUUGCAAGAUUUAAAAUUUAUGAGUUUGAUUAUCACUAAAUCCACCAAUCGUUUGAGUUACUGCUUUGAGUUUGAUAUUUGUACACAUUUUAUAUGCAUUUCUUAAACAUAUGCAAAAUUUAAAAUAAAAUUAUUGAAUUCAAUUAAACUCGAUCGUAGCGAAUAUAUACAUCCACCCCUUGGUGUAUCGCAAUUCUACUUGCUAAUGCAACCAUUUUGAUCCCCAUAUGUAAGUUUAGUAAUGAGUUUAAGUUAAUCAGAAGUAAUCUAAAGCAAAUAUAUUAAAUAAUUAAAAACUUGGUAAAAAUGAUAAAUUAAUUUGUGUUUCUCAGGUAAAACUCUUUUUUUUAGUGGCAGGUUAAACUCUAGGUUAAAGAAACUUCAAAUUAUUAUCUAUACAUCUAUGUAGUAACUUAAAUGCUUAGUAUUAAAUUCAGAUAGCUGGCAACUGGCAAGUACAAAUACUCCACUUAUUAUCAAAAAGAACGGAACGAACUACUUGCAAAUAUAAAUAAUUAAUUUCACACAUCCACCAAAGUAUUUAAGGACUCAAUUUCACAUAUGAUGUACAAUAUUAUACAAAUAUAUAUCAAACAAUUCACAUAUGCUGUGCAUUGUGCAAGAUGGCAUAAUAAUAGAGAAGAAGGGGAAAAGCAAAAAAAGAAUGUAUCCUGUCAUCUAAUAAUUUUCAGCAUAGAGGCUUAUUGGUCUGAACUGACAGUCGCUUGCGCUUACUACGUGUGGGAUAGAUUAGCUAUACAUAUUAAUUAGAUAGAUUAUUUUAUUUUAUUUUUUAGAGAAAAUACAUCAAAUCAUCCUCGAACUUAUCGUCAAAAUUUACUUUAGACCCUAAAAUAAUCGAGCAAUUAUAUAACCUCCUUAAUAACUUUAAACUAAAUUUUUUACCAUCCUAUAAAAACUAUAUCACUCUCACUACGGAAGGUAAAGUACACAUGCCUCACGUCAUUGUUAAAUCAGCGCCACAUCAGUGCCAUGUCAUUGCCUCGUAAGAAAUUAUAAUUAUUUUUAAAAAAAGUAAUCCAACACACAUUAUUUUUAUAUAUAUAUUUUAAAAAUAUAUAUAUAAAAGACCCCCCCUUUCCUCCUCCUCCUUCUUCUUCAACAGUCCACCUCACCCCACCCCCAUCGUUCCUUCUUCUUCUUUUUCUUCAACAGUCCCCCCGUUCCUCCUUCUCCUUUAAUUUCUUUUUCAUCAUUAACAACAUUAUUUCAUCAUUAAUAUCAAUAACUUGAUUUGAAUUUAAUAAGAAAUUGAUAAAUAACUUGUUCAUGAGUUGUAGAUCAAUUUAAAGUGAAUGGUAAAUUAGAUAAGACAAAAUUCGAAACAUUGUUAUUAGUAGACUCAACUGCUUCAUUUGCCUUUUUAACAACACCCUUUUCUUCUUCAGUCUUCCUAUCCACUUCAUGUUUUUUUCUGUGUUUAAUAACAAAGAUUUCUUUUUUCACACUUUCUCCUUCUACCUCUUUCUAGAUCUCUACUUGGGUACUAAUUUUGGUGAUUUCUUGAUUUAUAUUUGAAACUGCAACAGUAGUAGAAGAAGAACAAGAUGUGCUUUUCUUACUCAAACAACUCCCUAUUUUUUUCCAACCAGAGUCAUUCUCAACCAGAGACAUUCUCAAUCCAAAAUUUUAAUACACAAAAAUCAUGAGUUGAUCACAAAAAUACACUAAUACACAAAAUUUCAAAUUCAAAUUCCUUCACAUUAAUCAAAACCAAAAAUUCUAAAACUCCCAAAUUCUCAAUCUUUUACUUAAAAAUGUCAACAGAAAUGGCACAAACAGUCCCAAAUUUAGAAAUGGCAUCGAUGAUAUUCGCAUGACAUGAAAUUCUUGGCCAAGAACCAAACUUGUUCAUCAAUUUUGAAUCUUUUUUGGUUGUUGAAAGAUGAAGUUUUGGAUCAAUUGAGAUUUGGUUCGAAGGGAUUAGGAAGAAGACGAAGAAACGGAUGGAGAUUCGAAGAAUGUAGACACGUGAUUUUUGAUCCUCCCUAAAUUUUAACUUGUCUAUCAAUAUUAAAUAUUUAUAUUUAUAUUUAUAUUUAAUCAUACAUUAUUUUGAUUUUUAUUUCUAUUUUUAUUUUAAUUUUAAAUAAUAUAAAAUUAAAAUAUAUAUGUUUUAUUUUAUAAAUUUUAAUAAAUAAAUUAAUAAUUUGAAUAUUAUUUUAUUAUAUUUAAUUUUGUCUAUGUUGUUAUUAUGUUUUGUUAAAUAUAAAAUUAAUUAAUUAUUUUUUUGUUAUUAUUAUUUUAUUGUUUUUAUUAACUAUAAAAUUAAUUAAUUAUUAUUUUAAUAUUUAUUAUAUUAUUUAUUUAUUAAUUUAUUAUUAGUAUUAUCUUUUAUAAAUUAAUUUGAAUUUUUAAACUAUUCUUUCCUUAUUUGAUGAAUAAUUUCCCCACUUUAAAGUAAUUGUUCCCCCAAAAGUUCCCAUAUAUAACGACUUCUCAAGAGGGAGGACGUACAUUAAUCAGUGAAAAAAAUCAGUCAGACACUAUCAGAUACUGCAUAAAACCAAAAAGAAAAUAAAGGGAGUAAAAAAUCAGAGUAGGUACAUUCACACAGAGUACAUACUUGAACAUCAGAAACAAAAAAAAAUAAGUAAAGAGAGAAAAUAAAAAGUUUGAAGAUUGAGUUUGAUUUUCAGAUGAAUUUUUGGUGACGAUUGUUUCUCUCUUAUUAUUCAGUUCAAACAAUUACAAGUUCUUUUCAAUCUUGAACCAUUUUAUGUUGCAAGUCUACAAAAAUAUGAAGAAAAAUGCUUAAGUGAUUUAUCACAUUAUUUAACAUGAGUAAUUGAUUAAUUAUGUGAAAUUUCAUAUCAUAUCUUGUGCAGUCAAAAAUACUGUGUAUUUGCAAUUCUUAAUACAUAAAAAAGUUCCGUCUCACAAAUACCUUAUAUAUACAUAGAAGACAGAAUAGAAAAAAUCGAGCAAAACCCAAUGAAUAAAAGGAGAUAGAGAAAAUGAAAAGAAAAAGAAUUUGUUUUCUCCAUCUCCGCUAAACAACCAAAGAUGGCAGAGAUCUCUUACCGCUGUUAUUUUACGUCCAACAAACCGCUGGAAACACCACCUCUGCCGAAAAUCGUUACAGAUUCGACCAACACACUCCAGUGCUGCCAUCGCUAUUUCUCUCUCCCCUUUCCUCGCGCUGUUCUGACGUCUCUUCUCCCCUUCCCUUUUCCCGUCGUCAGCUGGCCAUUGCCUCCGGCAAAAGCGUUGAAAAGCCGAACAAAACCACCCCAAAAUACCCCUGCCAGCGCCGAUCUCCCCUUUCCCUAUGUCGUCGAUCUUUUUAUUUAUUUUUUCUUUAUUUUUUUUUCUUUCUUUUUCCCGUCAUUUUUUUUCUUUCUGGUAAAUUUUGGAUAUCGAGGCCAGUGGCCAUUUUCUUUUUCUUUAAGUUUGGUUUUGAUUUACUGUACGUUUAAGUUUGCUGUGAUAUGCAAGAAAGAGUAUUUAG